GGAGGUUCAAUACCAACAACAUUUUCCAACUUAACCUUGAUGGAGGACUUAAGAAUAAGUGAUUUAUCUAAUGGAAGUUCUUCAUUGGCGUUUCUUAAGGAUAUGAAGUCUUUGAAUCUCUUAAUUCUGAGGAAUAACAAUAUUUCUGGAUCUAUCCCAUACAAUAUUGGAGAUUAUCAAAGAUUGUUACAACUGUAAGUUAUUGCUAUUAAUUUCAGGUCAGCUCCCAUAUGCUUCAACCUGAAAUUUGGCCAGUUCAGAGCCAGAUGGGGGAAGAUGGGGUCAAAACCAGACAACCAACUCUAUGAAGCAAAUACUUUUAAUGUAUUUACGUUAUUAUAUAAUGAAUUUACUUGACCACGGUUUGUAUAAUUUUUCAGGGAUUUUAGCUUCAACAAAUUAACUGGACAGAUUCCUGAUUCGCUAUUCAAUUUGAGCU